rnacentral:rRNA from 1 species
AGUGAACGCUGGCGGUAGGCCUAACACAUGCAAGUCGAACGGCAGCACAGUAAGAGCUUGCUCUUACGGGUGGCGAGUGGCGGACGGGUGAGGAAUACAUCGGAAUCUACUUUUUCGUGGGGGAUAACGUAGGGAAACUUACGCUAAUACCGCAUACGACCUACGGGUGAAAGCAGGGGAUCUUCGGACCUUGCGCGAUUGAAUGAGCCGAUGUCGGAUUAGCUAGUUGGCGGGGUAAAGGCCCACCAAGGCGACGAUCCGUAGCUGGUCUGAGAGGAUGAACAGGCAAAAUUGAAAUGAGAAAAGGUCCAGAAUCCUAAGGGAGGCAGGAGGGGGGAAAAUUUGACAAAGGGCGCAAGCCUGAUCCAGCCAUAACGGGUGGGGGAAGAAGGCCUUCGGGUUGUAAAACCCUUUUGGUGGGAAAGAAAAGCAACAGGUUAAAAACCCGGUGGUCUGAAGGUAACCAAGGAAUAAACAACGGCCAAAUUCGUG